rfam:Triticum aestivum genome assembly, contig: Triticum_aestivum_CS42_TGACv1_scaffold_577166_7BL
AUACUUACCUAGGGUCGAUGACUGUUCAGGAAAAGCCGUGGCCUAGAUCAAUGGCUCACAUUACACUUGGUGAAUUCGUUGAUCUACCAUCUCCUCAAACGGGAGAGUGGAUGUCAUAAUUUGUGAUAGAGGGGGUACGUGUUCGCGUGGCCCUUG